CCUACGGGUGGCAGCAGUCGAGAAUCUUUCACAAUGGGGGAAACCCUGAUGCUGCGACGCCGCGUGGGGGAAUGAAGGUCUUCGGAUUGUAAACCCCUGUCAUGUGGGAGCAAAUGAAAAAGAUAGUACCACAAGAGGAAGAGACGGCUAACUCCGUGCCAGCAGCCGCGGUAAUACGGAGGGCUCAAGCGUUGUUCGGAAGCACUGGGCGUAAGGCGUGCGUAGGCGGUUUCGUAAGUCGUGUGUGAAAGGCGCGGGCUCAACCCGCGGACGGCACAUGAUACUGCGAGGCUAGAGUAAUGGAGAGGGAAGCGGAAUUCUCGGUGUAGCAGUGAAAUGCGUAGAUAUCGGGAGGAACACUCGUGGCGAAGGCGGGUUCCUGGACAUUAACUGACGCUGAGGCACGAAGGCCAGGGGAGCGAAAGGGAUUAGAUACCCGGGUAGUC
rnacentral:rRNA from 1 species